GGUUAAGUGACUAAGCGUAGACGGUGGAUGCCUUGGCAGUCAGAGGCGAUGAAGGACGUACUAACCUGCGAAAAGCGAUGGUGAGCUGGUAAGAAGCAUUUGAGCCAUCGAUGUCCGAAUGGGGAAACCCACCUGCAUAAGCAGGUAUCUUAGCGUGAAUACAUAGCGCUAAGAGGCGAACUCGGGGAACUGAAACAUCUAAGUACCCGAAGGAAAAGAAAUCAAUUGAGAUUCCGGCAGUAGCGGCGAGCGAACCCGGAGCAGCCCUUAAGCGGCUUAGGCGUUAGGUGAACAGGUUGGAAAGCCUGGCAAUAAAGGGUGAUAGCCCCGUAACCGACGGCGCCUUAGACGUGAAAACGAGUAGGACGGGACACGUGAUAUCUUGUCUGAACAUGGGGGGACCAUCCUCCAAGGCUAAAUACUCCUGACUGACCGAUAGUGAACCAGUACCGUGAGGGAAAGGCGAAAAGAACCCCUGUGAGGGGAGUGAAAUAGAACCUGAAACCGUCUACGUACAAGCAGUGGGAGCCUCCUAGUGGGGUGACCGCGUACCUUUUGUAUAAUGGGUCAGCGACUUAAUGUAAGUAGCAAGGUUAACCGCAUAGGGGAGCCGUAGGGAAACCGAGUCUUAACUGGGCGUCGAGUUGCUUGCAUUAGACCCGAAACCGAGUGAUCUAGCCAUGGGCAGGUUGAAGGUUGAGUAACAUCAACUGGAGGACCGAACUCACUAACGUUGAAAAGUUAGGAGAUGACCUGUGGCUAGGGGUGAAAGGCCAAUCAAACUCGGAGAUAGCUGGUUCUCCCCGAAAGCUAUUUAGGUAGCGCCUCGGACGAAUACUACUGGGGGUAGAGCACUGUUAAGGCUAGGGGGUCAUCCCGACUUACCAACCCUUUGCAAACUCCGAAUACCAGUAAGUACUAUCCGGGAGACACACGGCGGGUGCUAACGUCCGUCGUGGAGAGGGAAACAACCCAGACCGCCAGCUAAGGUCCCAAAGUUAUCGCUAAGUGGGAAACGAUGUGGGAAGGCUCAGACAGCCAGGAUGUUGGCUUAGAAGCAGCCAUCAUUUAAAGAAAGCGUAAUAGCUCACUGGUCGAGUCGGCCUGCGCGGAAGAUGUAACGGGGCUAAGCGAUACACCGAAGCUGCGGCAAUGUCCUUAUGGAUAUUGGGUAGGGGAGCGUUGUGUAAGCUGUUGAAGGUGAGCUGAGAGGCUUGCUGGAGGUAUCACAAGUGCGAAUGCUGACAUGAGUAACGAUAAAGGGGGUGAAAAACCUCCUCGCCGGAAGACCAAGGGUUCCUGUCCAACGUUAAUCGGGGCAGGGUAAGUCGGCCCCUAAGGCGAGGCCGAAAGGCGUAGUCGAUGGGAAACGGGUUAAUAUUCCCGUACUGCUACUUACUGCGAUGGGGGGACGGAGAAGGCUAGGUGGGCCUGGCGAUGGUUGUCCAGGUUCAAGUGCGUAGGCUGAUUUCUUAGGCAAAUCCGGGAAAUCAAGGCCGAGACACGAUGUCGAGCCACCAAGGUGGUGAAGUCAUUGAUGCCAUGCUUCCGGGAAAAGCCUCUAAGCUUCAGGUAAGUAGCAACCGUACUCCAAACCGACACAGGUGGUCGGGUAGAGAAUACCAAGGCGCUUGAGAGAACUCGGGUGAAGGAACUAGGCAAAAUGGUACCGUAACUUCGGGAGAAGGUACGCUGCCCGCGGUGAAGUCCCUUGCGGAUGGAGCUAUGGGCAGUCGCAGAUACCAGGUGGCUGCAACUGUUUAUUAAAAACACAGCACUGUGCAAAAUCGAAAGAUGACGUAUACGGUGUGACGCCUGCCCGGUGCCGGAAGGUUAAUUGAUGUGGUUAUCGCAAGAGAAGCCAUUGAUUGAAGCCCCGGUAAACGGCGGCCGUAACUAUAACGGUCCUAAGGUAGCGAAAUUCCUUGUCGGGUAAGUUCCGACCUGCACGAAUGGCGUAAUGAUGGCCACGCUGUCUCCACCCGAGACUCAGUGAAAUUGAAAUCGCAGUGAAGAUGCUGUGUACCCGCGGCUAGACGGAAAGACCCCGUGAACCUUUACUACAGCUUGGCACUGAACAUUGAGCCUACAUGUGUAGGAUAGGUGGGAGGCUUUGAAGCGGCGACGCCAGUUGCUGUGGAGCCAUCCUUGAAAUACCACCCUUGUAUGUUUGAUGUUCUAACUUAGCCCCGUUAUCCGGGGUGAGGACAGUGCCUGGUGGGUAGUUUGACUGGGGCGGUCUCCUCCCAAAGCGUAACGGAGGAGCACGAAGGUGGGCUAAUCACGGUCGGACAUCGUGAGGUUAGUGCAAUGGCAUAAGCCCGCUUAACUGCGAGAGUGACGGCUCGAGCAGGUACGAAAGUAGGUCAUAGUGAUCCGGUGGUUCUGAAUGGAAGGGCCAUCGCUCAACGGAUAAAAGGUACUCCGGGGAUAACAGGCUGAUACCGCCCAAGAGUUCAUAUCGACGGCGGUGUUUGGCACCUCGAUGUCGGCUCAUCACAUCCUGGGGCUGAAGUCGGUCCCAAGGGUAUGGCUGUUCGCCAUUUAAAGUGGUACGCGAGCUGGGUUUAGAACGUCGUGAGACAGUUCGGUCCCUAUCUGCCGUGGGCGUUGGAUGAUUGAGGGGAGCUGCUCCUAGUACGAGAGGACCGGAGUGGACGAACCGCUGGUGUUCGGGUUGUGUCGCCAGACGCAUUGCCCGGUAGCUAAGUUCGGCACAGAUAAGCGCUGAAAGCAUCUAAGCGCGAAGCUGGCCCCGAGAUGAGUCAUCCCUAGAGCUUCGAGCUCUCUAAAGGGUUGUCGUAGACGACGACGUUGAUAGGCAGGGUGUGUAAGCGCUGUGAGGCGUUGAGCUAACCUGUACUAAUUGCCCGUGAGGCUUAACCAU
rnacentral:rRNA from 1 species